CUCUUUCAGAGGACCCACUUUCAUGGAAGA
rnacentral:piRNA from 1 species